UACAGAGGUCUCAAGCGUUGUUCGGAUUCAUUGGGCGUAAAGGGUGCGUAGGCGGGUCUUAAGUCAGGGGUGAAAUCCUGGAGCUCAACUCCAGAACUGCCUUUGAUACUGGCGACCUUGAGUCCGGGAGAGGUGAGUGGAACUGCGAGUGUAGAGGUGAAAUUCGUAGAUAUUCGCAAGAACACCAGUGGCGAAGGCGGCUCACUGGCCCGGUACUGACGCUGAGGUGCGAAAGCGUGGGGAGCAAACAGGG
rnacentral:rRNA from 1 species